CUACGGGGUGCUGCAGUGAGGAAUAUUGCGCAAUGGGGGGAACCCUGACGCAGCGACGCCGCGUGGAUGAUGAAGGCCUUCGGGCUGUAAAAUCCUGUCAGAUGGGAAGAAUUGUUCCAUGUCUAAUAUAUGUGGGACUUGACGGUACCGUCAAAGGAAGCACCGGCUAACUCCGUGCCAGCAGCCGCGGUAAUACGGAGGGUGCAAGCGUUGUUCGGAAUUACUGGGCGUAAAGCGCGCGUAGGCGGUCUGUUAAGUCAGAUGUGAAAGCCCAUGGCUCAACCAUGGACGUGCAGUUGAUACUGGCAGACUAGAGUACUGGAGGGGGUGGUGGAAUUCCCGGUGUAGAGGUGAAAUUCGUAGAUAUCGGGAGGAAUACCAGUGGCGAAGGCGACCACCUGGCCAGAUACUGACGCUGAGGUGCGAAAGCGUGGGGAGCAAACAGGAUUAGAUACCCUAGUAGUC
rnacentral:rRNA from 1 species